rnacentral:rRNA from 1 species
UAAUACGUAGGGACCAAGCGUUGUUCGGAUUUACUGGGCGUAAAGGGCGCGUAGGCGGCCCAACAAGUCACUUGUGAAAUCUCUGGGCUUAACCCAGAACGGCCAAGUGAAACUGUCGGGCUAGAGUGUAGAAGGGGCAAUCGGAAUUCUUGGUGUAGCGGUGAAAUGCGUAGAUAUCAAGAGGAACACCUGAGGUGAAGACGGGUUGCUGGUCUAACACUGACGCUGAGGCGCGAAAGCCAGGGGAGCAAACGGGAUUAGAUACCCCGGUAGUCCUGGCCCUAAACGAUGAAUACUUGGUGUCUGGAGUUUUAAAACUCUGGGUGCCGUCGCUAACGUUUUUAGUAUUCCGCCUGGGGAGUACGCUCGCAAGAGUG